AAAAUUAGCAGAGGGAAAGUGGAGAACUGUAGAUGUACAUGUAACGCGAUUCAUCAAUGAAACGAAAUUUCUCCAGCGGAUUAAUCACCAGCUUGGUAGUUUGGAAAUUUGUCAAGGAGCCCCUGAGAAACUCUCCCAGCAAAUGAUUUAUUGGCGAUAGAUUUUCAACAGCUUAACAUGACUGUCUUUAUGAGAACUGCUUAUAUCGCCUUAAAUUAAUUACAGCUUUGUUUUUUUUUCUACGCCGCUGUCAACGUUUUGGUCUGUUUCUCAGCAUGUUUAUCACGUGAAACUGUUUUCGUACUUGAGACUUUUUGCCGUUGUCAAAAGCUUAUCUGAAUUCUACUGAAAAGACGUAAGACGUAAUUUUUGCUUUGUUUACAUGUGUCUUGUGGUUCAUCUAAUCGCUUGUGGAUUCUAGAAAACGCGGAUGAUGAUAAGAUCCUCGGUUAUCUUUGUUGACAGUGUUAAACGCUGAAUAUUUACUCUGGCCAAACACGAGGAUCACUCACAUGUUACUCUUGUCAGUCUUUCAAUGGAAUUUGACUGUCUAACGUUUGGCUUUAUACCGAUGUCAUGGUUAUUAGCAUUGAAAUACUUUACACCCGCCCUGGAGCUUUAUAUUUUGGUGAAGCUUGAGACAUUGUUAAUUUUGUAAUGUUACACAGACCAGUGGCUACUUCGAUACCGAGAGAAUUUCCAAUUGUCAUUGAAUAUAUUUGGAGAGGUAGCAUCCAGCUAGGCCAAAGUUUUACAAAAUUACCAAGAAUGUUUAAAUAAAACAAUUGUAGUUCAACGAAGAAACCUUUACCUCACGUGGGCGGAAUUUAUGUAAAAACACUGAUCCCGUAUGCUUUCGUUGAGGGAAAGGAAUUGAAGAAACGAGACAUCGGUUGAUAUUCAUAUUUUCAAAAGAUUGCCAACCUAGCACCACUUGCUUGUAUUUUCAUUCGUUUGUUGUAUUGAUAUGAUUCGUUAAUUGUUUUGUUAUUCGCGGAGAUAGUCAAUCUUUAUCAUGGGUAAAUAUAGACUAAUCUACAAACCAACUCCACAGACUGCUCAGAGAAUAUACCACCAUUAUGCUAUACUUUGUUAUCUCGCAGUCAUUGUAUUUACACUGUUUGAUCUGAAAUCUUUUGUUUGAUUAGCACUUGAAUAGAAGUAGUUUUCUUUUUAUAUAGCAGUGCCGUAAAUUUCGUCUGUUAAUCAUUACUCAGUGUGAAAAGUUCUGAACAGAACGUACGGAAUUGUCAUGGUAAACUUUUUGUUGGGACGCAGUAGCCAGUAGGCGUCGCCAAUGACCCGUGCAUCUGACAACCCUCACGUUCAACUUGCGAACAUCCUUCCUGUCGAUGUCAUAAAACUGCCCAAAAGAUUCACAACAAAUGCUCAGGGGUUAAAGAUCGUGUAACACAAUUGAUGUUAGGCUUGUACCAACCAAGAUCAAAUGGGAAUGAAAAAAAGAAACCCUUUCCCUUCAAUAGUACUUUUUAACUGUUUACACUUAAACGCUACGUAAUUUUUCACGACAAUAAGAAGAAAUUUGAACUUUUACCAGUGACUUCUUCUCUUUAGACUCUCCUAUAUUGCAACUUGCAUCGUCACCCCCGAUCCACUCAAAGCGUGAUAAUAGAGGUUCAAUUCUUGAUUUACCACUUAGACAAAUGACGUUGUUGAUAAUAAAAUACACACAGGAAAAGUCUUUGAGAAAGGUACCACAUUAGUCAAAAUUGAGCGUGAGAACGAGAACAAUUUUUAAUGGCAUGCAGUAAUGGAAGUAAUAACACAGGUCGUUUCCGGAAGUAAUUCAUGCAACAACAUAAGUCGGUUUUUCCUGUUGAUAUUGGAAACAAGAUUUGUAUCAUUAGGAGGGAAUUUUGAUUAGAGACAACGAAUGAUGUGGGAAAGUUGUUACACCUGAAGAACUUUAGUGUGGCUCUUGCACGAAAUGUGUUUCGCGUUAACUGAAUAACAGAUCUGUAUAGUGACGUCUGAAAUCCUUUAUAAAUUAACUGAGUUAGCCUCGUAAGAGUUGGGUUUUGUUUUUGUUCUGUUUUCUUAUCGGGAAGUUUCAUUUCUUAACAACAAUAGUUUUGUUCCGAGGUCAUUAAAAUGAUAAGGUGCAGUCGAAAAUUGCGAUUUCACUCUGGAUACCGCACUUUAAAACCACACCAUUAGACUAACCACUACGGAGAACAUGCAAUAGCUUUGUUUACAAGGACGUCCACUUCUUCAGAACUAAAGAAAGAAUCCGAUUAAGUUAAGUAUCUGCCCGCAAUUGAAUUCCUGCAGUAAUGAGCCAUUUUAUGAAUACUUUACAAUUAAAGGAAACCCCGCUCAAACUGUACACAAAUGCUCAAUUUUUAAUUUUUUAACCAUACUAUUUCCAAAAGGGGUGGUAAACAUUUCGUGCUUCUGUUUUUCCACACAUCCUAAGGUUCCAUACUACUAGUAAAGCCUAUAUUAGACCGGGAAUCUUAAAAUUGUCAACAUACUGAGGUUGCGAGCUAUAUCUUCUUGUCUCGUGAUGGUAAAAUCAGAAGAGGAAAACAUGUUUUCGUGACUUUUGCUGUCGCGUGUGUUUCCCGGGAGCCAGUGACGUCAACACUGUCGCCACACCGGACCUUAGUGUUGCAGUAUUGGUCUCCUUAGAAGCGUUUGGCUUCUGACGUCUCCAACAGCUCGUGACAAUUUCCCGGUUAAGCAAUUAAUCCUUUUUACAGUAGUUAAAAAUCACGAAUUCCAUUUUCUUUAUCUUGUUCAUUGGUUUUGUAGGUGGGAUUCAAAACAGCAUCUUGAUGACGUGCUUUUCUAGCGUGUCCUACGUACUCUCGAGUUGAUACCGAAAACGGCCUCGAUAGCCUAUAACCAAAACAAAAACAAGUGUAUGCUUCGCAUACAACGCUUCAUUUACGAUGUCGUGACUAGCUGCAGGUUCCAAGCGAAAUUCUUUUCAUUCCUUUUCGCAAAGUAUGUGUUCUUUGAAUAGAUUGCUAUUUCGAUUAUUGCGAUUAGUUGUUCUUAGAUUAUUUUGAUCUCAAGGAAAACCAGCGGACCAAAAAAGAUAAAAAAAAAGAAGAAAUGAUAUUUAGUUGAUGUUCUGUUUUAACGAUGAGACAUUUCAUUAGUGGUUUCCGCAGGCACGGAUCUAAUACAGUUAAUAAGUGAGGUUAAUGCCUGUAUGAAAGAGAGAUAAAUUUGCACUUGCAUACCUUCAGCUAACGUUGUGGUAAUUCAUGUAUUUACAUUGGGACCCAAGCCACCUUACAUCAUCAUUGCUGGCGCAGGGUCAAGCGUCAUUUUCAUGCUUUGAUCGUUGUAGAAUCAUUCUUCAGUACGUGAAAACGUAGUUCUUCGCAAAUUGGUCGGUCGAGUAAUCUAGAGACACUAUUAACCAAUAAACUAGAAAACAAGCUA